rnacentral:rRNA from 1 species
CAGAGGUCCCAAGCGUUGUUCGGAUUCACUGGGCGUAAAGGGUGCGCAGGUGGGUUUGCAAGUUCGAUGUGAAAGCCCCGGGCUUAACCCGGGAAUGGCAUUGGAUACUGCAGAUCUGGAGGAUCGGAGGGGGGACUGGAAUUCUUGGUGUAGCAGUGAAAUGCGUAGAUAUCAAGAGGAACACCAGUGGCGAAGGCGAGUCCCUGGACGAUACCUGACACUGAGGCACGAAAGCUAGGGGAGCAAACAGGAUUAGAUACCCUGGUAGUCCUAGCUGUAAACGAUGAAUACUUGGUGUCUGGAGUUUUAAUUCUCCGGGUGCCGUCGCUAACGUUUUUAGUAUUCCGCCUGGGGAGUACGCACGCAAGUGUG